GUGACGGAGGCAAAAGAAAUUUACGGCAAAGAAUUUUUCAGCUACAACGUUCAUAAUUUAAUUCACUUGGCAGACGAUGUACGUCACUUUGGCAAUCUUGAUUCUUUCAGCGCUUUUGCUUUCGAAAAUUAUCUGCAGGACAUUAAACAUCUUUUGCGAAAACAUAAUCAACCCUUAGCCCAAGUUAUCCGAAGACUUGAUGAGAUCCAGUUAAAUCUAGUACCACGGAUAAAUUGUGCUGUCUCACCUUUCGUAUUGAAAAAGAAACACACUCAAGGGCCGAUGAUAAAUGGCUGUCGUGGCGUUCAGUUCAAGUUUCUCCAAUGUCACUCAUGGACUUUUCGUACAGAUAACGAUGCAGAUUGUUGCGCAAUUCUUCAGGACCAAACGAUUGUAAAAAUUGCCAAUUUAUUGAAGAGUGAAGAAGGAAUUUUCUUGGUCGGGCAUAGUUUUCUUCACAAAACUAGCCACUAUUCUUCCCCCUUACCAUCUUCCAGACUCGGAAUAGUUUGUGCAAGACGACUUUCUCAAUUACAACGUUGGCCUAUAAAGUCCUUGAAAUGCAAAGCAAUGCUGCUGCCAACAGCAGUUCAUAGUCUUUAUGACUUCGCUGUUUUUCCAUUGCAUAUGCAAAGCAACGCAUAGCUUCAAUCUUGCAAGUCGAUGUAACUGAAGAUUCCAUUAUUAACAUCUCUCGGCUUUUGAAAGGAUUUCCAAAUUUUUUUCCAUUAAAAGAAAUGCAGCGAUUAUUUUUUUAUUUCCUCUACGAUGUUUCAUUCUCGAUUCUUCUUCAAGGGUGGUCUUUUAAGAAAUCUGACAACUCCAUUUUGUAGCGUCUGUCUUCUGCUCUGUUGUCUCAUCAAGCGUCGUGUCUCGUGUGUCUCGUCUCGUGUGUCUCAUGUGUCUCGUCUCGUGUGUCUCGUCUCGUGUGUCUCGUCUCGUGUGUCCUGGAAUUUAUUUGCUUUCAAUAAAGGGAUAUUAACAUAUGCCAGAACGGGGUGAAAUGUUUCUUAUAGUGGAGUAUAU